rnacentral:rRNA from 1 species
AUUGAACGCUGGCGGCAUGCCUUACACAUGCAAGUCGAACGGCAGCGCGGACUUCGGUCUGGCGGCGAGUGGCGAACGGGUGAGUAAUACAUCGGAACGUACCCUGUUGUGGGGGAUAACUAGUCGAAAGAUUAGCUAAUACCGCAUACGACCUGAGGGUGAAAGUGGGGGACCGGAAACGGCCUCAUGCAGCAGGAGCGGCCGAUGUCUGAUUAGCUAGUUGGUGGGGUAAAGGCCCACCAAGGCGACGAUCAGUAGCUGGUCUGAGAGGACGAUCAGCCACACUGGGACUGAGACACGGCCCAGACUCCUACGGGAGGCAGUAGUGGGGAAUUUUGGACAAUGGGGGCAACCCUGAUCCAGCAAUGCCGCGUGUGUGAAGAAGGCCUUCGGGUUGUAAAGCACUUUUGUCCGGAAAGAAAUCGCGCUGGUUAAUACCUGGCGUGGAUGACGGUACCGGAAGAAUAAGCACCGGCUAACUACGUG